rnacentral:lncRNA from 1 species
CUUCUGAUAUUUUGAUCUGAGACUGAGAGAGACUUCUCUGCUGAACUAUCUCGAUCUAGAGACGUCGGCUCAUUUCCAUCGGAGAUUCUGAGAUUUUGCUGCAAAAUGGAGGACAUGGGAGGCCGACAUGGACUAACGAUUCGAAGAUGGAGGUUUAUGGGGAGGCCAGCAUACGAACAGUCGUCGUCGUCGCCCUUGGUGUUCGCAUCACGAGGGAUCUGCGGGAACUUUGCAUGAAAUUUUCGAAAGCGUAGCGUAAAUCUCUUACUCUCUUCUUUGAAUUCGUCAAUCUCUAGCGCAUCUCAAAUCCUAACUCCUGAGAACCUAUCCCUAACCCUAAUUUACCAUUUCAUUUUACCUUGUUUUAGAUCGAAGAAAUUUGUGCAUACGAACCGUCGUCGUCGGCCUUGGUGCUCUCGAUCUGCGAGAAAUUUGCAUGAAAUGUAAGUCUCCCACUCUUUUCUUUAAAUUCGUCAAUCUCUAGCAUGCCUCAAAUCCUAACCCUAACCUUAAUUUAUCAUUUCAUUUUACUACCUUGUUUUAGAUCGCAGAAGCUUGUCAUCGGCCUCGAUCUCCGAGACCUUGGCUGGGUUGCGUAAAGAGAAGCAUCUUCAGACCCAUUCAUUGCAUAGCUUCCACUUCCAGCGAAGAUCUUCAGGUGAAUGUUUGAAUUUUUGGUCUUUAAUCGAUUGGUUUGUUCGGAAUUGAAAGUUUUAGUUUGGACUCUGCUGAAUUUCUCAAUUAGAACGCUCAAGUGUUGGGUAACAUGACAAUUCAUAAGGUGCAAUGUCUGUUGUUACUGACUUUUAUCGUUUGCCUAUAAAUUAUGUGUGGCAAAAGCGAAUGGCUUUCAUCGAUGGCCAAAGUUGGCAUGGUCCCUUUAAUCCUUUUAGAAAAAGGUCUCUUUCAUGCAUUAUUACUAGUGUGGUUUCUCACUGCGAAGCAAAACACACAUGAAAUCGUAUUUGUACUUGUGUUUAAAUUGUGUAAGUUGUUUGUUGCAUGGUAUGUUUUAGCUGCAAUUCUAUGUUUUGUAUGUUUACUUUGUUAGAGUAAGCGAGAGAGCCUUAGAAUAUUAGAAAGCAAUGUGUGAAGUAGCUUCAGAAUAUAUAGGAAGUAAAGUUUUAAAGUUAUGAUGAAUGCUGAGGCAAAUAUUUGGGUUUGCUUGCGGUACAGUAUAGGCUGUAGCAGCCUGAAUAUGAUAAUGGUCAUAGUUUUGUAUGCUAUGUAGAAUUCAUGCUUAAAAUCAUAAUAGAUUUUGUUGAGGUGUAACCGUGUUAGUUAUUACCAGAGGCUGCUACAAGUGUUCUAAAGGGUUUGUGCCUUGACGUUAACGUCUUGUUUGUGGGGAUGAAAAAAUAUAUAACUAAACUAACUAUAAUAUUGUAAGUAUAGUAUGAAAAUACCCUUGAGGGAUCUUCUUUUUAAGUCUUAGUAAUAGGAUUCUUAUCUUAUAUUACAUUGUAUAGUCUUCCUCUGUUCAGGUUUGUUUUAU